rnacentral:rRNA from 1 species
GACGAACGCUGGCGGCGUGCUUAACACAUGCAAGUCGAACGGAAAGGCCCUGCUUGCAGGGUACUCGAGUGGCGAACGGGUGAGUAACACGUGGGUGAUCUGCCCUGCACUUCGGGAUAAGCUUGGGAAACUGGGUCUAAUACCGGAUAGGAACCAUCUUUAGUGUGGUGAUUGGAAAGUUUUUUCGGUGUAGGAUGAGCUCGCGGCCUAUCAGCUUGUUGGUGGGGUAAUGGCCUACCAAGGCGGCGACGGGUAGCCGGCCUGAGAGGGUGUACGGCCACAUUGGGACUGAGAUACGGCCCAGACUCCUACGGGAGGCAGCAGUGGGGAAUAUUGCACAAUGGGCGCAAGCCUGAUGCAGCGACGCCGCGUGGGGGAUGAAGGCCUUCGGGUUGUAAACUCCUUUCGCUAGGGACGAAGCUUUGUUGUGACGGUACCUAGAUAAGAAGCACCGGCUAACUACGUG